UCCUUAGAUGUUCUGGGCCGCACGCGCGCUACACUGAUGCAUUCAACGAGCCUAUCCUUGACCGACAGGUCCGGGUAAUCUUUGAAUCUGCAUCGUGACGGGGAUAGAUUAUUGCAAUUAUUAAUCUUCAACGAGGAAUGCCUAGUAGGCGCAAGUCAUCAGCUUGCGUCGAUUACGUCCCUGCCCUUUGUACACACCGCCCGUCGCUCCUACCGAUUGAAUGUUCCGGUGAGCUCUUCGGACUGCGCGGUCUGCAGUUUCUGCGUUCCGUGCGGAAAGUUGCGCAAACCUUAACAUUUAGAGGAAGGAGAAGUCGUAACA
rnacentral:rRNA from 1 species